AUUUAAAUAGUUUAUUUAAAAUUUUAAUUUGUGAAAUUAAAGAUAUAAUUAUUAAUUAUUUUAAAUA
rnacentral:tRNA from 1 species